CUCUAUGGUGGUCCACUUGAAGUCCUGCACUGAUCGAUCUUCUCGGGAAUGCUAGUUUGCAUAAAGACCUGCUGGUUGGCUGAUUUGCUUCUUUCUUCAAAUUUUUUGGACUCCUUUGGAAUUGAAGAUGGACAAGGAGGUAGGUGAGGUAAUGGAAGAAGAUGAUGGAGAACUUCUUUCUUCCUUUUCUCUCUUCCCAAAACUUUAGAUUUGGUCUAGGUUCUCUCUCACCCA
rnacentral:lncRNA from 1 species